rnacentral:sRNA from 1 species
AUCUAUCUAUCUAUCUAUUUACAUCCCUACCUACCUACCAACCAACCUUCCUGCUCAAUAUCCAAUCAAUCUCUAUGAGAAUAAACAUCACCAUCUAGCUACCCAGCUAUCUAUCAAUGCUAGCCUACUAGCUUACUAGCUGACUACCUGGCUACCUGUCUAUCUAUCUUCUGACCUGCUGGAAUGAACGAUAUCUAGCGAUGAUAUCUAGCGAUGGGACUCCGCACUCUCGCUCCGUCCUGUCCAGCUGCAUGUUUCAUGAAGCUCCUGCUAUAAGGUGUUGUGCCUGAGCUGUCCAACCCUUUGAAGCAAUUAAUGAUGUCUUUCAUCCCCUGGGAUUUAGAGGUUCGUUUGCUCACCCCCCCAGAAGAAGGGUGAUAGAGGCAGGCUGCUCCUUUUCUUAAAAAUAGAGUGAUUGGAAACUGUGAGAGAUAAUAAUAUAAAGAGUGAAUAAUUGAAGAUAGUAGAAGAUGAUAAAUAAUAGGAAUAUUCGCAAGGAGUACAAUAAAAAGUAGAUAGGAGUUACAGUAAUCACGA